ACAACUAUAAGAGCGCGUUGGGCCCGGAGGCUUAAGGGACUACAUUUCCCAAGGGGCGCCGCGGCCGGAAGGGGCCCAGUGCGCAGGCGCACAGGGGCGCCUUGGGCUAUAUAAGGGAGGUCGGCGCGCUCCUUCAGUCUUUCGCUCCUGAGCGCGGCUGGCUCGUGCUUCCGAAAUGGGUCCCUGCUGCUGGAACCACGCGUCGUCUGCGGCGAGGUUGAUGCGCUCCUGCAGUACAGGACGGAUGAAGGUCACCCGUGGGCCUCCAAGGAAACUAGAAGACAUGUACUCUUCGACCUCCUAACCUCUGGGUUUGCUGCUGGUUGAUGUGAGGCUCCAGCAAGGAUGGGUUCCUCAUGAGAAGAUGGGUCUGUAGCAGAGCUUUGGAUACCAGCGCCUCUGUGCCCGGCUUCUCUUCCUUUGACCUGCAACACAGGUGUAUCUCAGCUGUGGAGUACAAGGCCUGUUUUCUUGCUGAAUCACUUCCACAAGAUUGUGUGUAUUCACACUUCAACCAUGUGCAGUUCUAGGCUGUCUGUUUUGAACAUGCUGUCAGUUUUUUGGUUUUUCUAGGCUUAGGAGUGAGGUAGCUCCCAGGUGCAAACUCCAGUUGUGUAAGGAAAGCAGUAAUGAAUUUCCAUCUUCGUAGCUUAAUAAAGUAAAAUUCAAUCAAGA